AUGUCUCAAAAAGGCAAGAUUAUUUUCAAAGUUAAAAUAUUCUAGUAAGCUGAAUUCAUCAAUAUGGGAAUGGAGUAUACCCAAUAACCUGGGAUUUAUUCCAGGAAUGCAAGAAAUUGGCAAGCUUAUCCUGAUCUUUAUAUGGAAAUGCAGAGAACCCAGAAUUGACAAAACAGUCUUGAAAAGGUGAAAGUUGGUGGACUAACUCUUCUCAAUUUCAAAACUUACAAUAAAACUAAAAUGAUCAAGACAGUCACUUUGGCAUAAUGAUGGAUGCAAAUGGAAUUGAGAGCCCAGAAAUAUACCCUUACAUUUACAGUCAAUUGAUUUUUGCAAGGUGCCAAGACAGUUCAAUGGAGAAAGAAUAGUCUUUUCAACAAUGGUUUUGGAAGAACUGGAUAUCCAUCUAAGAAACGAUGCAGUAUGUGAACACUGUGAAUUCCUAUGAGAGCACCCCUCCUGACUCCUGUUCCUCUCUCCUCUGCCCCAGAACUUCAGGUAUU